UACGUAGGGGGCAAGCGUUGUCCGGAAUUAUUGGGCGUAAAGAGCGCGUAGGCGGUCCGAUAAGUCGGCUGUGAAAGUCAGGGGCUCAACCCUUGAAAGCCGGCCGAUACUGUCGGACUAGAGUCCGGAAGAGGCAAGUGGAAUUCCCGGUGUAGCGGUGAAAUGCGCAGAUAUCAGGAAGAACACCAAUGGCGAAAGCAGCUCUCUGGGACGGUACUGACGCUGAGACGCGAAAGCGUGGGGAGCGAACAGG
rnacentral:rRNA from 1 species